rnacentral:rRNA from 1 species
CCAUGUCCAGGGUGAAGGCAAGGUAACACUUGCUGGAGGCCCGAACCCACGCACGUUGAAAAGUGCGGGGAUGAGGUGUGGGUAGGGGUGAAAUGCCAAUCGAACUUGGAGAUAGCUGGUUCUCUCCGAAAUAGCUUUAGGGCUAGCCUCAAGGGAAGAGUCUUGGAGGUAGAGCACUGAUUGGACGAGGGGCCCCCAUCGGGUUACCGAAUUCAGUCAAACUCCGAAUGCCAAUGACUUAUCCUUGGGAGUCAGACUGCGAGUGAUAAGAUCCGUGGUCAAAAGGGAAACAGCCCAGACCGCCAGCUAAGGUCCCAAAGUAUACGUUAAGUGGAAAAGGAUGUGGAGCUGCUUAGACAACCAGGAUGUUGGCUUAGAAGCAGCCACCAUUUAAAGAGUGCGUAAUAGCUCACUGGUCGAGUGGCUCUGCGCCGAAAAUGUACCGGGGCUAAACGUAUCACCGAAGCUGCGGGUUGACACCGUUGGUGUCAGCGGUAGGAGAGCGUUCUAAGGGCAUCGAAGCCGGACCGGAAGGACCGGUGGAGCGCUUAGAAGUGAGAAUGCCGGUAUGAGUAGCGAAAGAGGGGUGAGAAUCCCCUCCGCCGAAAGCCUAAGGUUUCCUGAGGAAGGCUCGUCCGCUCAGGGUUAGUCGGGACCUAAGCCGAGGCCGAAAGGCGUAGGUGAUGGACAACAGGUUGAUAUUCCUGUACCACCUCCUCACCGUUUGAGCAAUGGGGGGACGCAGGAGGAUAGGGCAAGCGCGCGGCUGGAUGUGCGCGUCCAAGCAGUUAGGCUGGCAAGCAGGCAAAUCCGCUUGCCGGAAGGCUGAGCUGUGAUGGCGAGGGAAAGGAAGUACCGAAGUUCCCGAUUCCACACUGCCAAGAAAAGCCUCUAGCGAGGUGAGAGGUGCCCGUACCGCAAACCGACACAGGUAGGCGAGGAGAGAAUCCUAAGGUGAGCGAGAGAAC